AAAGGAAUUGACGGGGACCCGCACAAGCGGUGGAACAUGUGGUUUAAUUCGAAGCAACGCGAAAAACCUUACCAGGGCUUGACAUCUGACGAACCUCUGUGAAAGCAGAGGGUGCUCCUCGGAGAACGUCAAGACAGGUGGUGCACGGUUGUCGUCAGCUCGUGUCGUGAGAUGUUGGGUUAAGUCCCGCAACGAGCGCAACCCUCGUUAUUAGUUGCUGAUGUCGGUAUACUGGCAUUGAGCUCUCUAAUAAGACUGCCGGUGAUAAACCGGAGGAAGGUGAGGACGACGUCAAAUCAUCAUGCCCCUUAUGCUCUGGGCUACACACGUGUUACAAUGGUUGGUACAACGAGCAGCCAACUCGCGAGAGUGAGCAAAUCUCUUAAAGCCAAUCUCAGUUCGGAUUGCAGUCUGCAACUCGACUGCAUGAAGUCGGAAUCGCUAGUAAACGCAGAUCAGCACGCUGCGUUGAAUACGUUCCCGGGUCUUGUACACACCGCCCGU
rnacentral:rRNA from 1 species